CACAAGCCUGGCAUUCAUACCCCAUCAUGACCCUCCUCUUCCUGCCUCAAUAACCAGCCUCAGAACAGACAUAAUGGGUGCUCUCCCAGCAACCUCAAGUCCUCCCUCGCUCUCACAGAGAGCAAGGCAUUUGCCCUCACCACAGCUCUGGUGUCUCCAAGUCUUCAGCAGUUAGUGCUUUGAUAGAAGAAGUCUGAAGAUGUCCAGGAUUCAAGAUUCCUACAAGGAAAGCAGUCUCUUAGCAGGAGCUCCCGCCUUCCAUCUCUGCCAGCCUUCCACGAGCAGCCUCAGUCCUGGUGCUUCCUGAGCAGGUGCUGGAGGGACAGGAGGAGGAAAGAAGUGACAUCCUGAGGAGAAGGACAGGCAUGCAGAGGGCUGCUGCAGCAGUGCAGGCAAAGAGCAUCCCCCUUGUCCCUGCAAGGAAAGGCUCCAGUGGCCUGAAGGAGUCUCGAAGCAAUGCACCAAUGCAUGCUUUUCUAGUUCUUUGCUUCUGUGAGUAAUCUCAGGAAAACUCAAGCUCUUGUUUUGUUUUUAGUUUUGGUGGGGUUUGUUUUAGUGCACACACACAUAUUUUGCAUAAACUGGGCUUUCCUGUGACAUUUUCCUAAACACAAAGGACAUGCUUUGGUCAUACUCAUCUCUUUAGCUCUCUCUCUUCCAGUGCCAACAGAGACCUCAGAUUUGGAUACACAGGGGACAAAAUGUCCAUCUCCUGGGGACUCUGUAGGGGUGCAUUGUUUGGCCUGUAUAGCUCCACCCUAGGCCUGCUCCUGCCUCAGCUGCCUGCUGCUGGGAGGGAAUGCAGCCCAUACUGUCACAGUCAGGGACAGGUAGGCUGCUGCCUGGGUAUGAAAAGAGUGAGUAUGCUCCAGUCACUGCUAUGGCAGAGGGAGAUAGUGUCACCGACUCCUUACUUGAUGACUUAUUCAUAAUUAUAUGUCAAUCUGUUUCCCAUCUCCAAGAGAAUUUGAGCAAGGAACUUGUAUGUGGAAUUAAAGAAAUAAAAUCCACAGUGUUGGGUGUUGAAGGAGAAGAAGUCUCCAGAAACCCUGAUUUGUCAAGAGUCAGACACUGACACAGGCCCAAGGCUUGAGAAGGACACAGCUCCAUUCUGGCUCUGCCAGGUAAUGCAAGUCCAGGCAAAAGGCUGAGGGUUGCUUCCUUCCACUUCCCCAUCUUUCCAAGGUUUCGUUUCUUAGGAAAUGAAAGCACAGUUCUCAGGCCUCCUGUCUCCACCCUUCUAAUAUCAAGAAGCAAGGGCUACUUCCUGUUGGGCAAUAGUCUUCCUUUCCAGUCAGUAUGAUGUCCCUGAGCUCUGGCUUGAGACUGAAGAAACUGUAUCAGAAGAGCCACUCACUGAGUCCCUGGCAGAGCAAGGGGGGAGACCGUUUGGAUGAUCACUGACUGUGUUCAUAGGUUUCUUUUGUGGUGAGGUGGCCUCAUGCAGCCCUGGCUGUCCUUGGACUCGCUGUGCUGCCUGCCUGGACAUGGAACUCCUAAUCCUUCUGCCACCCUCCCCCACAAGGUCCUGGGAUCAUAAGUGUGAGCCUCCAGGCCUGCUGGUUUUUAAUCUCAAUUCUUGUUCUCUCUUUCUCUUUAUUGUUAAUGCUUUCUGUUAGUUAAUGCUCAAAAUAAAGGAAUGCUUCUGCAGUUUUCACACAUUUA